rnacentral:rRNA from 1 species
GACGAACGCUGGCGGCGUGCUUAACACAUGCAAGUCGAACGGUAAGGCCCUUCGGGGUACACGAGUGGCGAACGGGUGAGUAACACGUGGGUGAUCUGCCCUGCACUUUGGGAUAAGCCUGGGAAACUGGGUCUAAUACCGGAUAGGACCACUGCCUGCAUGGGUGGUGGUGGAAAGCUUUUGCGGUGUGGGAUGGGCCCGCGGCCUAUCAGCUUGUUGGUGAGGUGAUGGCCUACCAAGGCGACGACGGGUAGCCGGCCUGAGAGGGUGACCGGCCAAACUGGGACUGGGAUACGGCCCAGACUCCUACGGGAGGCAGCAGUGGGGAAUAUUGCACAAUGGGCGCAAGCCUGAUGCAGCGACGCCGCGUGAGGGAUGACGGCCUUCGGGUUGUAAACCUCUUUCAGCACCGACGAAGCGCAAGUGACGGUAGGUGCAGAAGAAGGACCGGCCAACUACGUGCCAGCCGCCGCCGUAA